UGAACCCAACUUAUUUAUGAAAUGGUUAGGUAUGUUCCAUCAAUUAUGUCCAUGUCCAUUUAUACUAGAAGCCAAUUUGGUUGCUUUUAUUUGGACAUCGAAACUCAGUUCAGAUAAGAGGGAACCUAUUUAGGUGUUUGGUUGGCCUGAAGUGGAGUUGAAUUUAGUUCUUACCAUAUGUUGCCGGUGUAACGCCAACAUGUGGUGGGACCGUCCCAACCAAAACAUUAAAAGAAAAUGAACCAGUGCAAAAAAGGCACGCUAAACAGAGGCCGUGGCAA
rnacentral:lncRNA from 1 species